UUAACCCGUCCAGCCUCCUUGAAUCCUCUUUGUUUCUUUGCUUGUUAUGGACCCUUUUCACGGUGACGUCAGACAAAAUGGUGACAAGCCCGAAAAUGUGAAUAGUGACUCCCAGUUAAUGGAUUUGAGAACAAACAACUGAACGCUGUUAAACACAAUUUGACAUAAAUAAUGAAAGGUAACUUGCUCAAUGCACAAUAUUUAUUUCCUGAAUGUCCUGAUGAACUGUAUUUUCAUUUCCCGUCGUUCACAAAUCUAAAUACAAGUUUGAAUAAUCCUUCAAUAUUUGAGGUUCUAUUGAAAAUAUCGACCUUUCAUUUGAGCAGAUGUUAUUCUAACGGUUCUGUUUUGAUUGAUGUUAUUCACACGUGUUUUAAGUGCGCUCCAGGCUUCAUGUAGUUGUUGUGAUAAGAGAUAUUUGUUGUGUUUUAGGGUAUUUCAAGGGGUAAGUGUAAAAACAGGAAUGUUUACCAAGAGGAGAAGCAAAUAUUUUAUGAAGAAAAGUAUUUUCAAUUUUCAAAAUUAGAGCGGCCAAGACAAAAGUUCCGAUCUGGCGGUACGUAUUUAGAAAAUGACUUGUGAACAAUUAUUUCCUUCAAUAUAUUUUUGAUGGUUUCAAGUUUUUUUCUCCUUGUUUACCUUUGUUAUCCUGCAGGAUCAGACACGAUAAUGAGCAACAGCAAAGGGAUCAUAUGAACAUGGAAAUGUAAUCAACUUUAACUGGGCAGAGAAGAUCUUCUGCAGAUCUACGUCUCAUCCAUGUUGUAGAAAGCUAGCGGUAGCAUUAGCAUCAAUUAGAAAAAAAAAAUCUGAAUUCAUGAUCAAACAAGCAGCAUUCAAUGAAGUUCCUGAAACCUUCGUCUAACUACCCAGCCAGGAAAGCCGUGGGGCCCCAUAUGGUUUAGAAGUGGGCAGAAGAUGUGGCCCCAGUUGGGUUUGUCCACAUUGACUUAAAUGGGGAUUCAGUGAUUUAGCCUGCUAUGCUAGCCAGCUUCCCAGUGAUCAGCGUAGCGAGCCCCACUGUCCACCAGAGAUUUGCCUUUUUUCCCCUCAGGUCCCUGUUUUUCGUCUUCCCUGUACCUGUCAGAGAAGUGACUCGAGGGAACAGCUCUGACCACUUUGUGAGCAGAUUCUAUCACCUGCCGGAAGUUUGUGUGUCUGCAAAAACUCUAUUUAUGAUUAUAUUAACCGUACCUCUGGACUGGCAGACCGGGGUGGUGGUUCCCCUUUUCAAGAAGGGGGACCAGAGGGUAUGUUCCAACUAUGCCAGGGUACUGGAGAGGAGAGUCCGUCCGAUAGUCGGACCUCAGAUCCAAGAACAACAGUGCGGUUUCCGUCCUGGUCGUUGAACAGUGGACCAGCUCUACACCCUCUUCAGAGUGCUGGAGGCUU